GACGAACGCUGGCGGCGUGCCUAAUACAUGCAAGUCGAACGCAGUGGGGACGGGUGAGUAACACGUGGGUAACCUCCCAUCAGAGGGGAUAACACUUGGAAACAGGUGCUAAACCGAUACUGAUGGAUGAACCCGCGGUGCAUUAGCUAGUUGGUGAGGUAACGGCUCACCAAGGCCACGAUGCAUAGCGGACCUGAGAGGGGGACGGGCCACACUGGGACGGAGAAACGGCCCAGACUCCUACGGGAGGCAGCAGUAGGGAAUCUUCGGCAAUGGACGAAAGUCGGACCGAGCAACGCGGCGUGAGUGAAGAAGGUUUUGGGAUCGUAAAACUCUGUGGUUAGGGAGGCGGUAUCUAACCAGAAAGCCACGGCUAACUACGUGCCAGCAGCCGCGGUAAUAC
rnacentral:rRNA from 1 species